ACAAAAAAUAGAAAGUGUGCGUUCUUUUAUCUCCCCUAAAGGUUGGAACUACGUUCCUUAAAUUGAAAAAAAAUCGGAAAUCCAUUUUUUCACUUAUUAAAACAGAAGUGUCUUAUUGGAAACUUUAGUGAUUUUGGGGAUUAAAACCUCUUUUUUCUUAAAAAUGCACCUGGCAGUAUUGGUAAAAGUCAAAUAAACAUAUGUUUCAUUAAAUAUUUCAAAAUAAAUGAAGCUGCUGAGCAAUAAUGAAAGGCAAUAGCUGAAAUGAUGCCUGUUGCUUUGUCUUUACCACUGCCACAAAAGCUAUAGCUGAAGUCGAGCAAUUGACCCAGGAAUCUGACACCUGGAGAGAGAAUCGUACACAUUAGCAAAUACCAAGAAAAUGUUAACCAUUUGUCGCCAGUAGUUUUAUCGGCAUUGAUUUUUCCAUGUACAACAAAACAUGGAAAAAUCAAUGCCGAUAAAACUACUGGCGACAAAUGGUUAACGAAUCCUCCCUCUGAGAGAGAACACCAAGUGGUCUGAAGUCUUAUUUCAUAUCAACGACAGGUGCUCAAUCUGCGAAUGUUGAACUUGAAUGCAACCAAACUAUUAUUUUAAUUUUCUCUAAUAAGGGCGUAAAUUGUUGGUGCGUCCAUACUUCUUCUUGCGGCAGUUAUUAGCACGGGAAUGGAGAGGAGUGUAGUACUUACGGCCACCACCUGUAUCGUCGUAUGUAUGCGGGUCAUUACGAUUUGACGACGAUGAUGAUGUCCACUGAAAUGCUUAGGCAAUUGCAGUUGAUGAUAAUGGGAAGACGAUGACGACUGAUAGUGGAAAAUACACAUGGACGUGUCCAACGUUACACAUAUAAAAUGAAAUAUUGCAAUGAAGCAAAUAAUACACGUACCUUUAAAUGCUAAUUUUGUGUUUGUUGGAUAAGUUAUGGAUAAAUAAUAGUUUAUGUUUGAAUUGGAA
rnacentral:sRNA from 1 species